rnacentral:rRNA from 1 species
CAGGAUGAACGCUAGCGGCAGGCUUAACACGUGCAAGUCGAGGGGCAGCGGGAUGUAGCAAUACAUUGCCGGCGACCGGCGGAUGGGUGCGUAACGCGUAUGCAACCUACCUUAUACAGGGGAAUAACCUUUCGAAAGGGAGACUAACACCCCAUAGUAUUGAUUUAAGGCAUCUUAGAUUAAUUAAAUAUUUAUAGGUAUAAGAUGGGCAUGCGUAUGAUUAGCUAGUUGGUAAGGUAACGGCUUACCAAGGCGACGAUCAUUAGGGGUUCUGAGAGGAAGGUCCCCCACACUGGUACUGAGACACGGACCAGACUCCUACGGGAGGCAGCAGUGAGGAAUAUUGGUCAAUGGGCGCAAGCCUGAACCAGCCAUGCCGCGUGCAGGAAGACGGCCUUAUGGGUUGUAAACUGCUUUUACAUAAGACUAACCGUAUAUUUGCGAAUAUACCUGAAUGUAUUAUGAGAAUAAGGAUCGGCUAACUCCGUGCCAGCCGCCGC